rnacentral:rRNA from 1 species
AAGUCGAGCGGACCGACGGGAGCUUGCUCCCUUAGGUCAGCGGCGGACGGGUGAGUAACACGUGGGUAACCUGCCUGUAAGACUGGGAUAACUCCGGGAAACCGGGGCUAAUACCGGAUGCUUGAUUGAACCGCAUGGUUCAAUCAUAAAAGGUGGCUUUUAGCUACCACUUACAGAUGGACCCGCGGCGCAUUAGCUAGUUGGUGAGGUAACGGCUCACCAAGGCGACGAUGCGUAGCCGACCUGAGAGGGUGAUCGGCCACACUGGGACUGAGACACGGCCCAGACUCCUACGGGAGGCAGCAGUAGGGAAUCUUCCGCAAUGGACGAAAGUCUGACGGAGCAACGCCGCGUGAGUGAUGAAGGUUUUCGGAUCGUAAAACUCUGUUGUUAGGGAAGAACAAGUACCGUUCGAAUAGGGCGGUACCUUGACGGUACCUAACCAGAAAGCCACGGCUAACUACGUGCCAGCAGCCGCGGUAAUACGUAGGUGGCAAGCGUUGUCCGGAAUUAUUGGGCGUAAAGCGCGCGCAGGCGGUUUCUUAAGUCUGAUGUGAAAGCCCCCGGCUCAACCGGGGAGGGUCAUUGGAAACUGGGGAACUUGAGUGCAGAAGAGGAGAGUGGAAUUCCACGUGUAGCGGUGAAAUGCGUAGAGAUGUGGAGGAACACCAGUGGCGAAGGCGACUCUCUGGUCUGUAACUGACGCUGAGGCGCGAAAGCGUGGGGAGCGAACAGGAUUAGAUACCCUGGUAGUCCACGCCGUAAACGAUGAGUGCUAAGUGUUAGAGGGUUUCCGCCCUUUAGUGCUGCAGCAAACGCAUUAAGCACUCCGCCUGGGGAGUACGGUCGCAAGACUGAAACUCAAAGGAAUUGACGGGGGCCCGCACAAGCGGUGGAGCAUGUGGUUUAAUUCGAAGCAACGCGAAGAACCUUACCAGGUCUUGACAUCCUCUGACAACCCUAGAGAUAGGGCUUCCCCUUCGGGGGCAGAAUGACAGGUGGUGCAUGGUUGUCGUCAGCUCCUGUCGUGAAAUGUUGGGUUAAGUCCCGCAACGAGCGCAACCCUUGAUCUUAGUUGCCAGCAUUCAGUUGGGCACUCUAAGGUGACUGCCG